ACCAGGAAGAUAAAUGACGAUGAAUCUGCAAGAAUUGAGUUCAUUUCCAAGAUGCACUACCAUAUGGUUAUUAUGAGAUUUAAGGACUUUUUGGAUUCAUGCAGAACAUAUUCAUGACGAAUACGUCACGUAUGCUUAUUGGCAGCAGCAAAAUAAUAAUAUGGUUUCUCCAUGUAAGAGAACUACAGGGAAUAACGAUUUUAAUAUGGUGAAAAUAUGGCUGUUUAUCCAACGAUCUGAAAUAUUUUGGAUGGAAAAGUUGACUGUUCGAAUUUCUACUGGUCGUUUGUACCUAUGGUACGAUGAAAAUGCCUUUUCUCCAUUAGGAAUGGAAAGGAAGAAUUCAUGAGAAUGAACUAAUUGUCGAACAGAUUAGUUCAAGUUAAUUUUGGACCUGCGAGAGGAAGGCAACUGGAAAUAAACUUGGAAAUCAUUGAAACAUGUCUAUAGUUGUAUCCUAUCUGAAUUUGGCUUACUCACCACUCUUCUAGACUAUAGAACGCUACCUUCUGCAGUUAGUGAAGUUUGUCCAACAGAUGAGCGAGAAUUAAAGUUCAGUUUGGUCGUACUACAACAACUAAUGAAUACAAAGGUGUCGUUUUUCCUGGAUUAUAUUAGUGAGACCAACUGAAGAUUUACUUAAAUUCCACUGAAGUAACAAAUUUUCUAAUACUGUAUUCUUUCUGGAUUAGUGGUGCUGCAGUGGUAUCCCUCCCUGAUUUGGCUUCUUUAUCACACUAUAGACUAUGGAACGCUACCUUCUGUAUUUAAUUAAGAUUAUUCAGCAGAUGAGCAAGAAUUAAAGUUGAGUUUGGUCAUACUGAAAAACCAAUAUCUACAUGGGUGUCGUCUUUCUUGGAUUAUAUUCGUGAUUUGCUGUUUUCUUCUUCACCUUGCAACAUAAUGCAGUUAACUUUCGAUCGAUGAGGGAAACCAACUGGAGAUUUAUUUGAAUUCCACUGAAGCAACAAAUUUUCUGAUAUGGUAUUCCUCAUGGAUUUGGUUUACUUUUCACACUUGUGAACACUGAAAUGUUACAGGCUAGAGUUAAUUAAGAUCGACAGUGGAGAAGACAAAGAAGACCCCGUAGUUAAAAUUGUUCUUUAUUUUGUAUGCUCUAUCUAAUAGAAUCAAUUCUUUAAGUUCAUUUUAUUAUAAUCAAUUUUCUAUCUUGCAUGUGUUUUAUAGUUUAUUUAAUUGUUAUUUUGCAUGCUUAUUUUAGUUUAUUUUAUUUGAAUUAAUUUUUUAAUGUAGACGUCAUUAUUUUUUUUUUUGUGUGGUAGUAGUUAUUACCGUAUUAACACGUUUAUUUUUUUUAGUAGUUGUAGUCUAACAUGUCUCUUGCUUACCUCUUCGCUUAGCUUACUGCAUAUUCU